CUCUGAAACUAAUAUUGAAAGUCAAGGCUCUGCCUCUUCUUUCCAUAAGAGGACUAGUGCCGUAUGGAAUGACUUUGAAAGAGUUAUGAUAGAUGAAAUUUUAAAAGUAAAAUAUAAAAAAUAUAUCAAAUUAUAUAAUUUUGCUAGUAGUGGGGGAACUGACCAUUUAAAGAGACAUCAAAAGAGCCAUGUUAUGAGUGAUGCUCGUCUUCAAAGUAUCCUUAAUAUA
rnacentral:lncRNA from 1 species